AAAGNAGUGAAGCGCAAUGACUACAUCCAUGCCUUGGUCGCCUAUUUCAACAUAGAGUUUACCCGAUGCCACAAACGAACUGGAUUCUCUACCAGUCCUGAAUCUCCCUACACCCACUGGAAACAGACAGUCUUUUACAUGGAAGACUAUCUAACAGUGAAGACAGGAGAGGAGAUAUUUGGCACCAUCGGCAUGAAGCCCAACGCCAA